GGGAAAGCAUAGAUUCAAUUUCUAAUGAUGUUGACAGCCAUUAGGUGGGGGUAAAAUCUAAGCCAUACAUUAUCCUAGCUAAUUUUCUCUCUCAACACAGAAUUUCUCUGCCUUCUCUCUAAAGUAAGGCUUCUUCUCCGCUAAGCUUGCUCCCCUCUUUUAUCCGUCAGCUGCUUUUUGUUUUCCAUUUUUCCGCAAAAUAAGUUGGUCCCUUACCUCCUUUUUCCUUAAUUCCGACCAUCGUGGAAAGGAUGUCUCCGUCUCUUUUUUUUCUGGUUUGGAUCUCGCCAGUGACAGCUAUGAUUUCCAUGCUUGUUGACGUUGCCGCCGCUAGUUUCCACAUUGGCCGGAGUAACAUCGCUCAUUGAGUUUCGUCGCACCAGAGGUGGUUUGAGGUCUUUUGGCCAGAAGUUAUCCUCCACCGCCUUUCCGUUGAUUAGCUCCCAAAUUGGUCAACGGCAUCUUUUUUUUGUUCCAACCAUGGCAUGGUCUUUCCGAAAAUGCUAAUGCUGUCAAAACAGAUGCAUCCCCUUGCCUCAACCAUUAUUUCUCAAAUCCCUGAAUUUAUUAGAUUACUAUUUUAAUAAUAAAUUUGAAAUUCUUAAAACUUUUUUGUUUCUAUAUAUAUAUAUAUUUUCUAAUAUACGUUAUAUUAAAUCUCAACUAAUUUCAUUUCAUCUAUAACAUAAACAUCUCAUUCUUACAAUUUACAUAAUAAAUAAGCCUAAACAUAAAUUCUUAGGCCUUUUUUGUGGACCUUCCUUUUUAUGUUUAUAUAUGAUCUGUUUAUUUUGUAAGGCUUUGGUUUUAGCUGAAUUGAGACUAAGCUUUGGGCUUUUUCAUGUUUGUAUCUGAUCUAUCUCUAUAAUGAAAUCUUUCGGAAAGGUGGGAGAGGAUUUCAGCAUUGCCCAGAGAAUUCCAAAAUAACUCAAAGUUGAACUGGUGAGUUGCCUAAUCCUAACUGAAGAUUUGUUGAAAUUGGACAGGGCAUGUGAGAUACCCGCUUGUAAAGAAAAAUAAUAAAGGCUUCUGUUGGACACCAGAGGUGGUCGUUUUGGACUCAAUUCAUUCUAUGUUCUCGCAAUCUGUUUGUUGCUUGUACUGUACCCACUUUCUGUUGCAUAUUUUCCGUAAGAGGUAUAGUGACAUCAUGA
rnacentral:lncRNA from 1 species